GACAGAGGGGGCAAGCGUUGCUCGGAAUUACUGGGCGUAAAGCGCGUGUAGGCGGCCAUGCAAGUCGGAUGUGAAAGCCCUCGGCUCAACCGGGGAAGUGCACUCGAAACUGCAAGGCUAGAGUCUCGGAGAGGAUCGUGGAAUUCUCGGUGUAGAGGUGAAAUUCGUAGAUAUCGAGAGGAACACCGGUGGCGAAGGCGGCGAUCUGGACGAUGACUGACGCUGAGACGCGAAAGCGUGGGGAGCAAACAGG
rnacentral:rRNA from 1 species